AUCACAUCACAAGCCGGAAGGAAGGAAUUUGGUGCUGAUUAGACCAAAGUGUCUGAUGGUAACAAAUUCUCUGUUUCUGUCUGAAAUGUCUUUACAUUGCCUUCGUUUCUGAGGACAAGUUUUGGUGUGUAUGGAUGUAGCUUUCCUGUGCUGCACCUAGACGAGGUUCUAUUUAUACAGGCACACCUUGUUUUAUUGUGCUUCGCUUUGUUGCGACUUGCAGAUAUCAUGCUUUUACAAGUGGAAAGUUUGUGGCAAACUGGCAUGAGCAAAUCUGCUGACUC